UUCCUUACCACUUGCUUUCGGACACUCAGAGAUGUUCCUGCGAUCUAGAAGAAGAAACGGGUGCACACUUGAUAUGUGACUGCCCCAAAUUUCUUCAACUAAGACGCAGGAUGCUCGGAGACUACGAGGUGGUUCCUUCGGAAAUUGCUGCAAUAGGACCUGACAUCUUAGACAGGUUCCUAUCGGCAACAGGAAGGCUACCAUGAUUUACAUGAUGACCGGGAAUGGAAACAAAGGAUCAACAGAUCUGUGUUUCGAGAUCUUAAAUGAUCGUCACAAACUGAUAAAUCUA